CAGCCGCCUGGUCACUGCCAGGGAAAGCUCUAUUCUAUUUUCCUUUCCUUUUUUUAGAUUAGAAACCUAGGAAUUCUCUGUUUGUCUUGAUCAUUUUCCUUUUCCCCAUCUAAGCUGCCAUUAGUCCUAUCCCUUCUCCAAAGAUUUAGAAGCUCCCUUUGCAUCCCCUGUGGUCACCCUACUUUGGGCCUCAGCACAUCUCACCUGGACAGCUGCAGGCACUGGCUUCUGGAUUCUUCAUGAUGGAGACCUUGCAAUGCCUCCUUAGUGCAGCAACU
rnacentral:lncRNA from 1 species